ACGCUAGCUACAGGCUUAACACAUGCAAGUCGAGGGGCAGCGGGAUUGAAGCUUGCUUCAAUCGCCGGCGACCGGCGCACGGGUGAGUAACGCGUAUCCAACCUUCCGUACACUCAGGGAUAGCCUUUCGAAAGAAAGAUUAAUACCUGAUGGUAUGAUGAGAUUGCAUGAUAUCAUCAUUAAAGAUUUAUCGGUGUACGAUGGGGAUGCGUUCCAUUAGGUAGUAGGCGGGGUAACGGCCCACCUAGCCGACGAUGGAUAGGGGUUCUGAGAGGAAGGUCCCCCACAUUGGAACUGAGGCACGGUCCAAACUCCUACGGGAGGCAGCAGUGAGGAAUAUUGGUCAAUGGACGAGAGUCUGAACCAGCCAAGUAGCGUGAAGGAUGACUGCCCUAUGGGAUGUAAACUUCUUUUAUACGGGAAUAAAGUGAGGCACGUGUGCCUUUUUGUAUGUACCGUAUGAAUAAGGAUCGGCUAACUCCGUGCCAGCAGCCGCGGUAAUACGGAGGAUCCGAGCGUUAUCCGGAUUUAUUGGGUUUAAAGGGAGCGUAGGCGGACGCUUAAGUCAGUUGUGAAAGUUUGCGGCUCAACCGUAAAAUUGCAGUUGAUACUGGGUGUCUUGAGUACAGUAGAGGCAGGCGGAAUUCGUGGUGUAGCGGUGAAAUGCUUAGAUAUCACGAAGAACUCCGAUUG
rnacentral:rRNA from 1 species